UAAGAGGCUUUUAUAAAAGCCAAGUUUAGAUACCUAAAAUUAUAAU
rfam:Physcomitrella patens subsp. patens PHYPAscaffold_148 genomic scaffold, whole genome shotgun sequence.